GACAAUUUGACCUCAAAUCAGGUAGGACUACCCGCUGAACUUAAGCAUAUCAAUAAGCGGAGGAAAAGAAACUAACAAGGAUUCCCCUAGUAACUGCGAGUGAAGCGGGAAAAGCUCAAAUUUAAAAUCUGGCGGUCUUUGACUGUCCGAGU
rnacentral:rRNA from 2 species